AUGAUGAAAAAGCCAAACUUCUCUUAUGUUGCGCUGUUGCGGGGUUAUAUUGACCUAAAUAGAGGCUCUCACAGCAUCAAUGCCCAGGGGCAGGAGUCGUGCUCGUAUGUUAGUGACAUCGGUCAAGCAGCAGUGAGAGAAUGCAGCAGCAUCCUCGAGAAAAUAUCCAGCUUCAAAAUGAAAAUGAUGAAAAUGAAAAAGCUCCUGACCUGCAACUCUGAUUUUCUUUGCUUGUACCUGCAAGAAUGA
rnacentral:rRNA from 1 species